rnacentral:piRNA from 1 species
UGCAUACAAUGCUUUGAACCUUCGGGUGAC